AUGGGUGAUGUUGAGAAAGGCAAGAAGAUUUUUGUUCAAAAGAGUAUUCAGUGUCACACCGUGGAAAAGGGAGGCAAGCACAAGACUGGGCCAAAUCUUCAUGGUCUCUUUGGGCGGAAGACAGGUCACGCUGCUGGAUUCUCUUACACAGAUGCCAAUAAGAACAAAGGCAUCACCUAGGGAGAAGAUACCCUGAUGGAGUAUUUGGAGAAUCCCAAGAAGUACAUCCCUGGAACAAAAAUGAUCUUCGCUGGCAUUAAGAAGAAGGGAGAAAGGGCAGACUUGAUAGCUUAUCUCAAAAAAGCUACUAAUGAGUAAUAAUUGGCCACUGCCUUAUUCAUUACAGAACAGAAAUAUCUCAUGACUUUUUUUAUGUGUACCAUAAUUUAAUUGAUCUCUUACACCAGAAUUCAUAUCAUGAGUGGCUGACAGAAUAAUUUUGUUGAACAGUCCCAAUUUAACUAAGACUGGUUUGUGGUUAUAUGAAUAAGAUCUUUUUUAAAUUUCAAUAGUAAUUUCAAUUUUGAAAAUGCUAUCUCACUGUUUUCCCCUUCUAAGGAUAAGAUUGUAUUUGAUUAGUAAUGUUCAACUUUUCACAAAGAUGGUGAAUGCCAUCUUAAAAUCUAUUGGAAAUUGGUUUUAUAUUUAGAUUUAUAUAACUGGUUAUAUGAAUAUAUUUAAAUACUGAAGAAGUUCCUUAACUGUCUCAGAACCAAGCAAGACCAAUCUUUUUUGUGUUCAUUGACCUCUUAAAAGCAAAGACUGAAGAUAAGGUAGCAAUGUCUAUAUCAUAUUUUUGGUCUUAACUAUGACAAUCUAAUUAGAAUUCCCUGUAUCUAAAAAUGCUAUCUUUUACUUACUAAAAGAUAUUUUAGUGUGAUUUAUGUGUAAUAUCAAAUA